AGAAUGGAAGGUAACUGUGUUCCCAUAGCCACUACAUUUCAUAGUCCAGCAUAUAAACAGAAACCCAGAUUGAUUCUAGAGAAGUAAACCAUCAUGCUACCUCCAUGUUAGGACAAAGCCAUCUACUACAGUUGUGGAGCAGACCUCUGGGACCUGCAUAACCUCAAGUCACAUUAGGAUGAGCCUCACUAUUUUGUAAGGUGAAAGUUUAAACCAGAAAACAGUGAAAUGAUGGGCAUGUCUCUUGUGAUAAGACACCACUUAGGACACAACAGCAGUAAAAACAUCUGGUCUAUUUGUUAUUUGUAUGGUGGAAUUUCACUGCUUUGGCUGAGUCUUGUCUAAUUAUUAUUUCUGUUUGCAAUACAAAUAGAUCUCUGCCUGUAAUUCUACCUAAAUAUUCACUGCAUUAGCCAGACUCUAACAGGUACAGUUCUUAAUUGCCUCCCUGAAACUGUACUUGUUUCCACUAGAUCAUUAUGCAAUAUGAAGGUAAUUUAAUUUGGCUUGUGUAAGAAACCUUGAAGACUGCCAACAGUUCAAAAAGCGGAUUAUAGCAAAUGACAGGGGAUUUUAGGUUGUUCAUUUCUUUGUUUUCCAGAGUCUUCACCCACUCUAGCUUCCAUCUGUUGGGUGUUGUUUCCACCCCCACUCCCACCCCCCCCCCCCCCCCCCCCCCGCUACUUCUAAAGGUCCUUUAUUUAUGUUUUGUACCCUUCUGUUUCCACAGAAAUGUUUAUUGUCAGAAAGACAGGCGAGCACAGGGCAGACUGCUUGCAGGAGUGGAGGAAAUGACAGCCUCAUCCCUGAUGAGACAUUUUUCCUCUCAGAGGCAAAUAACAAGAAUAAAAGCUGGCAUUGCUCAGAGACGAAAAGAUAAGGAAAUUUUUACUAGAAAGUGACUCUUCCGUAAGCCUACUCAUUUUCAUUAACACUUUGAGACGUGAUGAAGAUGAUCAGAAAUUCAACUUACUGUGAGUGACUGCCAGAUGAUGGGUUGUUUAGUGCAGACCGCCAAUGCUCUGAGUUAAUCAGGCUCAUGCUGAAGUUGAUUGAAGUGCAGUGGUUGAAUUCACCUAUCAAGAGACAUUCAUUGGUUCUUGGGAAACAAGGUCAAGAUUCCCUCCAUGGCAACACCAACAUUUGAGCCUACUGAUUACAAUAGAAAAAAGAUAAAUUAAUUCGUAUUGUUGCUAUUAUAUGCAGUCUAGAUGGUUUGUUCUCGUUUUCAUUAUUCGUUUGCGUAUCCAGGCCACAGAAUUUAUACAUACGCUUUUUGGCAGGAGCUGAAAAUAGCAGGAAAAAAUAUGCCAAAGACUGAAAGGAUUUCUUUUGCAAUUAUCAACCACUGGCAACUCAAGCCAAAUUUGUGAUAUAUGGUCUUAAGGGACAGUAGGGACCACUGCCAGCAAAUCUCAUGGUAUCACAAGACAAAUCAUUGAAUUUGGGUAAGUUAAGUGUUCAUUAGUUCAGUGCGAAUUUCUUCUGUGUGGUAAAGAGAGGAACAGACUCUUAUCUAUGGCAGGCGUAAAUCCAGUUGAUAUAAAGGUUAAUGAGAAUUUUUUUUCCAUUAACUGAUAUAAGUGGAAAAAAAUAUAUAAUUGGCACAGAUUGCCUGCUGGAAUAAUGGGAAAUAAUUCUUCUUACCUUAGUGGAAACACGAAGAUAAGGAUUGGACUGUCCCAGGUGUUAACUAUUACAGCAAAAUUAUCAAGUAGGAAAAAAUAACAAUAAGAAAGAUGAAUAAGUGUUAUUCAUUAUUUUGUAAAAGUGUGACUGCAUAGAGCCCCGGAGGAGUGUUUAGUGUGGAAAUAAAACACCGAGAAC
rnacentral:lncRNA from 1 species